AUUGAACGCUGGCGGCAUGCUUUACACAUGCAAGUCGAACGGCAGCGCGGACUUCGGUCUGGCGGCGAGUGGCGAACGGGUGAGUAAUACAUCGGAACGUGCCCAGUAAUGGGGGAUAACUAUCCGAAAGGAUAGCUAAUACCGCGUACGCCCUGAGGGGGAAAGUGGGGGACCAGCAAUGGCCUCACGUUAUUGGAGCGGCCGAUGGCUGAUUAGCUAGUUGGUGAGGUAAAGGCUCACCAAGGCGACGAUCAGUAGCGGGUCUUAGAGGACGAUCCACCACACUGGAACUGAGACACGGUCCAGACUCCUACGGGAGGCAGCAGUGGGGAAUCUUGGACAAUGGGCGCAAGCCUGAUUCAGCAAUGCCGCGUGGGUGAAGAAGGCCUUCGGGUUGUAAAGCCCUUUUGUUUGGGAGCAAAUCCUUGAGGUUAAUACCUUCUGGGGAUGAGAGUACCAAAAGAAUAAGCACCGGCUAACUACGUGCCAGCAGCCGCCGUAAAAC
rnacentral:rRNA from 1 species